rnacentral:rRNA from 1 species
AUAUUGGACAAUGGGCGAAAGCCUGAUCCAGCCAUGCCGCGUGAGUGACGAAGGUCUUCGGAUUGUAAAGCUCUUUUGGCGGGGACGAUAAUGACGGUACCCGCAGAAUAAGCCCCGGCUAACUUCGUGCCAGCAGCCGCGGUAAUACGAAGGGGGCUAGCGUUGUUCGGAAUUACUGGGCGUAAAGCGCACGUAGGCGGAUUGUUAAGUCAGGGGUGAAAUCCCGGGGCUCAACCUCGGAACUGCCUUUGAUACUGGCAAUCUCGAGUCCGGAAGAGGUGAGUGGAAUUCCUAGUGUAGAGGUGAAAGUCGUAGAUAUUAGGAAGAACACCAGUGGCGAAGGCGGCUCACUGGUCCGGUACUGACGCUGAGGUGCGAAAGCGUGGGGAGCAAACA